rnacentral:rRNA from 1 species
GGCUCAGAAUGAACGUUGGCGGCGUGGAUUAGGCAUGCAAGUCGUGCGAGAAAUUCCAGCUUGCUGGAAUGGACAGCGGCGAAAGGGAGAGUAAUACGUAGAAAUCUGCCCUCAGGACUGGGAUAGCGUUGGGAAACCGGCGGUAAUACCGGAUAAUGUCUUCGGACCAAAGGUGUGAUUCCGCCUGAGGAUGAGUCUACGACCUAUUAGCUAGUUGGAGGGGUAAAAGCCCACCAAGGCGACGAUGGGUAGCGGGUGUGAGAGCAUGGCCCGCCUCACUGGGACUGAGACACUGCCCAGACAUCUACGGAUGGCUGCAGUCGAGAAUCUUUGUCAAUGGACGAAAGUCUGAACAAGCGACGCCGCGUGCGGGAUGAAGGCCCUCGGGUUGUAAACCGCUGUCGUAAGGGAGCAAAUCUAUUGGGGUUAUCCCCUUUAGUUGAGCGAUCUUAGGAGGAAGGACGGGCUAAGUUCGUGCCAGCAGCCGCGGUAAGACGAACCGUCCGAACGUUAUUCGGUAUCACUGGGCUUAAAGAGUUCGUAGGCGGCCAUGUAGGUGAGAUGUGAAAUCCCACGGCUCAACCGUGGAACUGCGUUUCAAACCACAUGGCUUGAGGGAGAUAGAGGUGAGCGGAACAGAUGGUGGAGCGGUGAAAUGCGUUGAUAUCAUCUGGAACACCGGUGGCGAAAGCGGCUCACUGGAUCUCUUCUGACGCUCAGGAACGAAAGCUAGGGUAGCGAAC